rnacentral:rRNA from 1 species
AGCGAACGCUGGCGGCAGGCCUAACACAUGCAAGUCGAACGAAGUCUUCGGACUUAGUGGCGGACGGGUGAGUAACACGUGGGAACGUACCUUUUGGUUCGGAACAACUCAGGGAAACUUGAGCUAAUACCGGAUAAGCCCUUAGGGGGAAAGAUUUAUCGCCGAAAGAGCGGCCCGCGUUAGAUUAGCUAGUUGGUGAGGUAAAGGCUCACCAAGGCUACGAUCUAUAGCUGGUCUGAGAGGAUGAUCAGCCACACUGGGACUGAGACACGGCCCAGACUCCUACGGGAGGCAGCAGUGGGGAAUCUUGCGCAAUGGGCGAAAGCCUGACGCAGCCAUGCCGCGUGAAUGAUGAAGGUCUUAGGAUUGUAAAAUUCUUUUACCAGGGACGAUAAUGACGGUACCUGGAGAAAAAGCCCCGGCUAACUACGUGCCAGCAGCCGCAGUAACAC